rnacentral:lncRNA from 1 species
GCAGCCUUCUCCAGUCCUUUGGAGGCAGGGCAGUGCAGUGGAAGGGACACAGGCUUCAGCAGCCCCAGAUUGGAUCUCCUGCCUAGACCCCUAUUGAAGAGUGACCUUGGUGUCAGUGAAGAUGCUGACUCAGACUGGCUCGGGACAGACGCCAGAUGAUGGAAGUCACGUCUCACUCGUCUUUGCACGAUUGUGACCUCUUGAAGGCAGAGACUGAAUGUACCCAUGCUUUUCUUUUUAUCCUCCACAACCAAGCCUUCUACACAAUAGACUCUCAGAACCCUGAUGUUGGCCAUGAGACCUUGCACAUUUAAAAUGAUGCUGAGAGUGAAGGAGAAUGAUAAGUGAACUCAGGAAGACAUGAUGGCUUCUGCAAUGACACUCAUAGAUGAAAUACAGAAUCCAGCUCCAACUCUUAGGAUUGGAAACUAAGCACAAACAAGUGGACAACGGUUGGGACACAAGUUAUCUCAAAGGCUUCCUCACAUGUCUGGAAGGUUCCUGGCCUAGACUCAGCACCAAGAAAAGAGCGAGAGAAAAUGUCCCUGGCGCCCCAGGUGCAUGCCCUUUUCCAGGGGCGCCACUCACAGCAUAUUCCAGCUAAAGAAGUACGGUCCCAGGACUUACCCAGGAUACAACCUGAAGGCAACUCCUCCUCUUCUAGCUCCUCCUGCCAAGAUGGGCAUGGCCGUUUCCCUCCAGUCACCGUCCUGUGUCCCUCCUCCCCUCUAAUUCCGUCCUUACAAGAGCCAUCCGUACACGUCACUCCUCCACCUGCAGAAAUCUCCACAGACUUCCUACGGUAACAUCAGCAGCCUCCUGGUAAUCCUCGCCCUGCUUGCCCAUCUGGAGUAUGUGAUACACCCGACUGUCCUCUCCUGGAAGCACCCUCCUCCCCUGGCCUUUCUGCUGCUUCUGUUCUCUCCUGGCUCCUCCUCAGUCCCUGACCAUCUCUCCACCCCCAGGCUUCCCUCUGAAAUCUUGACGUUUCUGAAGGCUGUGUCCUCAGCCCUCGUUCAUUCUUCAUCGUCUCUUCCCUAGGCAAGCUCAUUUGCUCCCAUGGCUUCAGUGACAACUGACACACUGAUAAUUCUCUUUCCUUCUUAUUAAAUUACAAACCUCUUAUCAUUACCAAGCAUAUGAACAGAUGAACAAAAAUAAAAUUAAAAUGCCUGAUUCCUACCAUCCAGAGAUUAACACCACUAAGAUCUUACUGUAUAUCCUUCCAGGAUUUUAAUGCAUUUAUACAUAGGCACAUGUAUCUUUUUACAAAAUGAGAAAAAUAAUGUUUCAUAAAUUGUAACAUA